rnacentral:rRNA from 1 species
AUAACACUUAGAAAUAGGUGCUAAUACCGCAUAAGCGCACAGUAUCGCAUGAUACAGUGUGAAAAACUCCGGUGGUACAGGAUGGACCCGCGUCUGAUUAGCUGGUUGGCGGGGUAACGGCCCACCAAGGCGACGAUCAGUAGCCGGCCUGAGAGGGUGAACGGCCACAUUGGGACUGAGACACGGCCCAAACUCCUACGGGAGGCAGCAGUGGGGAAUAUUGGACAAUGGGGGGAACCCUGAUCCAGCGACGCCGCGUGAGUGAAGAAGUAUUUCGGUAUGUAAAGCUCUAUCAGCAGGGAAGAAAAUGACGGUACCUGACUAAGAAGCCCCGGCUAACUACGUGCCAGCAGCCGCGGUAAUACGUAGGGGGCAAGCGUUAUCCGGAUUUACUGGGUGUAAAGGGAGCGUAGACGGUGCAGCAAGUCUGAUGUGAAAGGUCGGGGCCCAACCCCGGGACUGCAUUGGAAACUGUUGAACUGGAGUACAGGAGAGGUAAGCGGAAUUCCUAGUGUAGCGGUGAAAUGCGUAGAUAUUAGGAGGAACACCAGUGGCGAAGGCGGCUUACUGGACUGUAACUGACGUUGAGGCUCGAAAGCGUGGGGAGCAAACAGGAUUAGAUACCCUGGUAGUCCACGCCGUAAACGAUGAUCACUAGGUGUCGGUGGGCAUGGGCCCAUCGGUG